rnacentral:rRNA from 1 species
AUUGAACGCUGGCGGCAGGCUUAACACAUGCAAGUCGAGCGGGGGAGGUUGCUUCGGUAACUGACCUAGCGGCGGACGGGUGAGUAAUACUUAGGAAUCUGCCUAUUAAUGGGGGACAACAUCUCGAAAGGGAUGCUAAUACCGCAUACGCCCUACGGGGGAAAGCAGGGGAUCACUUGUGACCUUGCGUUAAUAGAUGAGCCUAAGUCGGAUUAGCUAGUUGGUGGGGUAAAGGCCUACCAAGGCGGCGAUCUGUAGCGGGUCUGAGAGGAUGAUCCGCCACACGGGGACUGGGACACGGCCCAGACUCCGACGGGAGGAAGCAGUAGGGAAUAUUGGACAAUGGGGGGAACCCUGAUCCAGCCAUGCCGCGUGUGUGAAGAAGGCCUUAUGGUUGUAAAGCACUUUAAGCGAGGAGGAGGCUCUUUUGGUUAAUACCCAAGAUGAGUGGACGUUACUCGCAGAAUAAGCACCGGCUAACUCUGUGCCAGCCGCCGCCGUAAUAC